rnacentral:rRNA from 1 species
GACGAACGCUGGCGGCGUGCUUAACACAUGCAAGUCGAACGGAAAGGCCCUGCUUGCAGGGUACUCGAGUGGCGAACGGGUGAGUAACACGUGGGUGAUCUGCCCUGCACUUCGGGAUAAGCCUGGGAAACUGGGUCUAAUACCGGAUAGGAGCCAUUUUUAGUGUGAUGGUUGGAAAGUUUUUUCGGUGUAGGAUGAGCUCGCGGCCUAUCAGCUUGUUGGUGGGGUAAUGGCCUACCAAGGCGGCGACGGGUAGCCGGCCUGAGAGGGUGGACGGCCACAUUGGGACUGAGAUACGGACCAGAAUCCUAAGGGAGGAAGCAGUGGGGAAUAUUGCACAAUGGGCGCAAGCCUGAUGCAGCGACGCCGAGUGGGGGAUGACGGACUUCGGGUUGUAAACUCCUUUCGCUAGGGAAGAAGCUUUUUGUGACGGUACCUAGAUAAGAAGCACCGGCUAACUACGUG